GCCUCGGUGGUGUAAUGGAAAACAAGGCAGACCGGAUACUCUGUAAGUGCGGGUACGAGUCCCGCCUGAGGUU
rnacentral:tRNA from 1 species